UUUUUUUUUUUUUAAGUUGACCAUUGUGCGAUAUUGUGAAAAUUCCUUUUGGAAAAAUCUAGACAAGAGUAAAAAUCUUCAAAAGUUAUGGAGGACAGGUUCCUUUAUUAUAUAUGUCAUAACAUCUUUUAGCCGAUUGCGAGAGGACGUAGACAACAUUUUGGUUUCUUAUCUUUUAAUUUAGAAUCUUGCAAAUUUUUCGUAUCGAUUUGAUAUGAUAGAUAUCUACAACAAAAUCAAUAU
rnacentral:lncRNA from 1 species